AGCCUGUCUCUGCUCUUUGGCAAUAAGAAAACGUAUUGCUCUUUAGUUGGCAUCCUGCCUUUACUGAUGAGAUGUUAGCAGUUCCCAAGAAGAAGAAAAUCCAUAUGCCAAAGGAAGCUGUGGGCUCAAUUUCUAUGGAAGAAGAGUGUUGGAUGAAGCAUGGAAACAGGAAAAUUACUUCAACACUUUGAAUGCUUCAGACACUGGAAUAUUUUGGGCUAUCAAAACAGAAUACAACAGUCAUGAUCAGAAGCAUUUUUCUUUAGCAUGAAAGAAACACAGAACAAGCAAUGGAUGUUCGUGGAAAAUUCCAGACACCAACUAGAUCUGGAUACAAUUGAUAAAGAGGACAAAGAACUAAUGGCAUGGAUUUAAUGGAUCAAGUUUCUCUUCUGCAGUUCAUCUCUUCGUUAAUGGCCCAUGAAAAGUGAAGACAAGAGAUUUGGACCAAAGAGCUGCCAGAGACUAAACCAAGCAUUACCUCUUGAAGGAUUGUAUCAUUGAUGCUUUAAAUUAAAACUUUAUUGCCAUUGUAAAAUGUCUGUGAGUUACCCAGAAAAAAUAAAAUAUAUGAUUU
rnacentral:lncRNA from 7 species